rnacentral:rRNA from 1 species
GCCUAUCACCAUUACAGAUUGAAUAUACCCGAUCUCGUCUGAUCUCGGAAGUCAAGCAAUCUCGGGCUUGGUUAGUACUUGGAUGGGUGACCGCUUGGGAAUACCAAGUGUGAUAAGCA